GACGAACGCUGGCGGCGUGCUUAACACAUGCAAGUCGAACGGAAAGGCCCUGCUUUUGUGGGGUGCUCGAGUGGCGAACGGGUGAGUAACACGUGAGUAACCUGCCCUUGACUUUGGGAUAACUUCAGGAAACUGGGGCUAAUACCGGAUAGGAGCUCCUGCUGCAUAGUGGGGGUUGGAAAGUUUCGGCGGUUGGGGAUGGACUCGCGGCUUAUCAGCUUGUUGGUGGGGUAGUGGCUUACCAAGGCUUUGACGGGUAGCCGGCCUGAGAGGGUGACCGGCCACAUUGGGACUGAGAUACGGCCCAGACUCCUACGGGAGGCAGCAGUAGGGAAUAUUGCACAAUGGGCGGAAGCCUGAUGCAGCAACGCCGCGUGCGGGAUGACGGCCUUCGGGUUGUAAACCGCUUUCGCCUGUGACGAAGCGUGAGUGACGGUAAUGGGUAAAGAAGCACCGGCUAACUACGUG
rnacentral:rRNA from 1 species